rnacentral:misc_RNA from 1 species
AGGUGAGCAAGGCUUCUUUGAAAAAAGCUAUCGGCAGAAAACUGGCAGCUCGUAUUCUCCGUAAAUGGACAGAAGACUUCGUCGAUGAGGAUACAGCAGAAGUAGUAACGAUCGAACGUAAUGAAAUCAUCCUGGAACGGGAUGUCG